ensembl:miRNA pma-mir-199a pma-mir-199a
GUUCCGUCUCCCCAGUGUUCAGACUACCUGUUCAGGAGGUUAAUGUUGUACAGUAGUCUGCACAUUGGUUAGACUGAGC